GACGAACGCUGGCGGCGUGCCUAAUACAUGCAAGUAGAACGCUGAAGGAGGAGCUUGCUUCUCUGGAUGAGUUGCGAACGGGUGAGUAACGCGUAGGUAACCUGCCUGGUAGCGGGGGAUAACUAUUGGAAACGAUAGCUAAUACCGCAUAAGAGCAGAUGUUGCAUGACAUUUGCUUAAAAGGUGCAAUUGCAUCACUACCAGAUGGACCUGCGUUGUAUUAGCUAGUUGGUGGGGUAACGGCUCACCAAGGCGACGAUACAUAGCCGACCUGAGAGGGUGAUCGGCCACACUGGGACUGAGACACGGCCCAGACUCCUACGGGAGGCAGCAGUAGGGAAGCUUCGGCAAUGGACGGAAGUCUGACCGAGCAACGCCGCGUGAGUGAAGAAGGUUGUCGGAUCGUAAAGCUCUGUUGUAAGAGAAGAACGAGUGUGAGAGUGGAAAGUUCACACUGUGACGGUAUCUUACCAGAAAGGGACGGCUAACUACGUG
rnacentral:rRNA from 1 species